UACGGGGGGGGCAAGCGUUGUUCGGAAUUACUGGGCGUAAAGGGCUCGUAGGUGGCCAACUAAGUCGGACGUGAAAUCCCUCGGCUUAACCUGGGAACUGCGUGUGAUACUGGAUGGCUUGAAUUCGGGAGAGGGAUGCAGAAUUCCAGGUGUAGCGGUGAAAUGCGUAGAUAUCUGGAGGAAUACCGGUGGCGAAGGCGGCAUCCUGGACCGACAUUGACGCUGAGGAGCGAAAGCUAGGGGAGCAAACGGG
rnacentral:rRNA from 1 species